UGGGGAAUAUUGGACAAUGGGCGAAAGCCUGAUCCAGCCAUGCCGCGUGUGUGAAGAAGGUCUUCGGAUUGUAAAGCACUUUAAGUUGGGAGGAAGGGCAGUAAGCGAAUACCUUGCUGUUUUGACGUUACCGACAGAAUAAGCACCGGCUAACUCUGUGCCAGCAGCCGCGGUAAUACAGAGGGUGCAAGCGUUAAUCGGAAUUACUGGGCGUAAAGCGCGCGUAGGUGGUUCGUUAAGUUGAAUGUGAAAGCCCCGGGCUCAACCUGGGAACUGCAUCCAAAACUGGCGAGCUAGAGUAGGGCAGAGGGUGGUGGAAUUUCCUGUGUAGCGGGGAAAUGCGUAGAUAUAGGAAGGAAAACCAGUGGCGAAGGCGACAACCUGGGCUCAUACUGACACUGAGGUGCGAAAGCGUGGGGAGCAAACAGG
rnacentral:rRNA from 1 species